rnacentral:rRNA from 2 species
AUCAUGAUUUACAUUUGAGUGAGUGGCGAACUGGUGAGUAACACGUGGGAAACCUGCCCAGAAGCGGGGGAUAACACCUGGAAACAGAUGCUAAUACCGCAUAACAACUUGGACCGCAUGGUCCGAGUUUGAAAGAUGGCUUCGGCUAUCACUUUUGGAUGGUCCCGCGGCGUAUUAGCUAGAUGGUGGGGUAACGGCUCACCAUGGCAAUGAUACGUAGCCGACCUGAGAGGGUAAUCGGCCACAUUGGGACUGAGACACGGCCCAAACUCCUACGGGAGGCAGCAGUAGGGAAUCUUCCACAAUGGACGAAAGUCUGAUGGAGCAACGCCGCGUGAGUGAAGAAGGGUUUCGGCUCGUAAAACUCUGUUGUUAAAGAAGAACAUAUCUGAGAGUAACUGUUCAGGUAUUGACGGUAUUUAACCAGAAAGCCACGGCUAACUACGUGCCAGCAGCCGCGGUAAUACGUAGGUGGCAAGCGUUGUCCGGAUUUAUUGGGCGUAAAGCGAGCGCAGGCGGUUUUUUAAGUCUGAUGUGAAAGCCUUCGGCUCAACCGAAGAAGUGCAUCGGAAACUGGGAAACUUGAGUGCAGAAGAGGACAGUGGAACUCCAUGUGUAGCGGUGAAAUGCGUAGAUAUAUGGAAGAACACCAGUGGCGAAGGCGGCUGUCUGGUCUGUAACUGACGCUGAGGCUCGAAAGUAUGGGUAGCAAACAGGAUUAGAUACCCUGGUAGUCCAUACCGUAAACGAUGAAUGCUAAGUGUUGGAGGGUUUCCGCCCUUCAGUGCUGCAGCUAACGCAUUAAGCAUUCCGCCUGGGGAGUACGGCCGCAAGGCUGAAACUCAAAGGAAUUGACGGGGGCCCGCACAAGCGGUGGAGCAUGUGGUUUAAUUCGAAGCUACGCGAAGAACCUUACCAGGUCUUGACAUACUAUGCAAAUCUAAGAGAUUAGACGUUCCCUUCGGGGACAUGGAUACAGGUGGUGCAUGGUUGUCGUCAGCUCGUGUCGUGAGAUGUUGGGUUAAGUCCCGCAACGAGCGCAACCCUUAUUAUCAGUUGCCAGCAUUAAGUUGGGCACUCUGGUGAGACUGCCGGUGACAAACCGGAGGAAGGUGGGGAUGACGUCAAAUCAUCAUGCCCCUUAUGACCUGGGCUACACACGUGCUACAAUGGAUGGUACAACGAGUUGCGAACUCGCGAGAGUAAGCUAAUCUCUUAAAGCCAUUCUCAGUUCGGAUUGUAGGCUGCAACUCGCCUACAUGAAGUCGGAAUCGCUAGUAAUCGCGGAUCAGCAUGCCGCGGUGAAUACGUUCCCGGGCCUUGUACACACCGCCCGUCACACCAUGAGAGUUUGUAACA